GCCGGGAUAGCUCAGUUGGUAGAGCAACUGAUUCGUAAUCAGUAGGCCAGAAGUUCAAUUCUUCUUCCCGGCA
rnacentral:tRNA from 1 species